CCAGACUCCUACGGGAGGCAGCAGUCGGGAAUAUUGCGCAAUGGAGGAGACUCUGACGCAGUGACGCCGCGUGCAGGAAGAAGGUUUUCGGAUUGUAAACUGCUUUAGACAGGGAAGAAACAAGACAGUACCUGUAGAAUAAGCUCCGGCUAACUACGUGCCAGCAGCCGCGGUAAUACGUAGGGAGCAAGCGUUAUCCGGAUUUAUUGGGUGUAAAGGGUGCGUAGACGGAGAAGCAAGUUAGUUGUGAAAUCCCUCGGCUUAACUGAGGAACUGCAACUAAAACUACUUCCCUUGAGUGCUGGAGAGGAAAGUGGAAUUCCUAGUGUAGCGGUGAAAUGCGUAGAUAUUAGGAGGAACACCAGUGGCGAAGGCGACUUUCUGGACAGUAACUGACGUUGAGGCACGAAAGUGUGGGGAGCAAACAGGAUUAGAUACCCCUGUA
rnacentral:rRNA from 1 species